rnacentral:rRNA from 1 species
AAAGUGCUCCACGCGACCACGCCGAUUCAUUUGGGAAAUGCGUGUGCCUGGGUGCGUCCCGGGAUUACUGCUUCCCAUCGUUCACUUUGAGGAAAUUGGAGUGUUCAUAGCAGUCGUUUUUUGACUGAACAUUUUAGCAUGGGAUGAUGGAAUAUGGCAAGAUGUCGAUUCUAUGGUUCUCGUUGGCAAUUGAUUUUGCAAUGAUCAAUGGGAGUGGAUGGGGCCGCCGGUAUUGCGUAGCUAGAGGUGAAAUUCUAUGAUUUACGCAGGACCAACAAAUGCGAAAGCAUCCGGCCAGUACAUGUCCGUCGAUCAAGAACGAAGGGAGUGGUAUCGAAGAUGAUCAGAUACCGUCGUAGUCACUCCAGUAAACGAUGAUAGCUCGGGGUUGGAGGGAUGUAACUUCAAAAUUGCACCCUCCAGAACCGUGUGAGAAAUCAAAGCAUUCAUAUUUCCGGGGGGAGUAUGGCCGCAAGACUGAAACUUAAAGGAAUUGACGGAAGGGCACCACAAGGCGUGGAACCUGCGGCUUAAUUUGACUCAACACGGGGAAACUUACCAGGUCCAGACAUAGUAAGGAUUGACAGGUUGAAAGAUCUUUCUUGAUCCUGUGGGUGGUGGUGCAUGGCCGUUCUUAGUUGGUGGAUUGAUUUGUCUGUUUAAUUACGAUAACGAACGAGACGAUCAUGGAAAAAUAGUCCGCAUAAUUGAAAAAUUGUGCGCCUGACUUCUCUUCCAGAUCAAUGG